rnacentral:lncRNA from 1 species
AUAUAGAUUAAGGUGGCUCGUGGGUACAAAAAUUUCAGCAAAAAAUUGAACCUUUAUUUUUUCAUUACAAAUUUUAUUUAUUACACUAUUAGUUAUUACUUUAUGAUAUGGUACAAAAAUCAACCCAAAAAAUCGAUUUGGUUUGGCCCCUGGUGACUUUUAAAAUGAUUAUAUCAUUGAAAAAGCUCCAAAUUAUCUCCCUUUGGUGCAAAAAUGCC